UGCAGUGAAAUCAGGUUUUAAUCACGUUGAACUGACCGUGACCAGGCUGAACUCGAUGCUGCAGCGCGUGGAUAGGUUGAUGACGGCGACUCCCGGCACGCCGGCUGAAUGGAGCCAAACUCCCCCCACCACAAUCAGGUGAGGACCACUUCGGAAAGAAUCAGAGUUGGAGCCGUCGGGUCGAGUCCUGCAAUUCCCAAAGCUUCCUCUACAAUGGAAUCAUGUCGCACAUCCACCCCUAGCAGGAAAUUUUCACAAGAAUCAUGGACGUUGACAUGAUUUGCCUUCGCGGGCCGCAUCAAAUCAUGUGGCGGGCUGGAUCUGGCACUUGGGCUUUGAGUUUGACACCAGUGAUGUAUAGUGUCACGACAUCAAUGGAAAAUUUCACCUGUAG